rnacentral:rRNA from 1 species
AGGACGAACGCUGGCGGCGUGCUUAACACAUGCAAGUCGAGCGGAAAGGCCUUUCGGGUACUCGAGCGGCGAACGGGUGAGUAACACGUGAGUAACCUGCCCCCUACUUUGGGAUAACCCUCGGAAACGGGGCUAAUACCGGAUAUGACUUGGCCCGGCAUCGGGUUUGGUGGAAAGUUUUUCGGUGGGGAUGGGCUCGCGGCCUAUCAGCUUGUUGGUGGGGUAAUGGCCUACCAAGGCGACGACGGGUAGCC